rnacentral:rRNA from 1 species
AUACGGAGGGUGCAAGCGUUAAUCGGAAUUACUGGGCGUAAAGCGUGCGUAGGCGGUUGAUUUAGUCAGAUGUGAAAGCCCCGGGCUCAACCUGGGAACUGCAUUUGAAACUGGUCAACUGGAGUAUGGUAGAGGGGGGUAGAAUUUCUGGUGUAGCGGUGAAAUGCGUAGAUAUCAGAAGGAAUACCGAUGGCGAAGGCAGCCCCCUGGACCAAUACUGACGCUGAGGUACGAAAGCGUGGGGAGCAAACAGGAUUAGAAACCCCGGUAGUCC